GACAGAGGGGGCAAGCGUUGCUCGGAAUUACUGGGCGUAAAGGGCGCGUAGGCGGGAUUGCAAGUCGGUCGUGAAAUCCUUCGGCUCAACCGAAGAACGUCGAUCGAUACUGCUGUUCUUGAGGGUUGCAGAGGAGACUGGAAUUCCCGGUGUAGCGGUGAAAUGUGUAGAGAUCGGGAGGAACACCGGUGGCGAAGGCGGGUCUCAGGGCAAUUCCUGACGCUGAGGCGCGAAAGCGUGGGGAGCAAACGGG
rnacentral:rRNA from 1 species